rnacentral:tRNA from 1 species
AGUCCUUUGGCCGAGUGGUUAAGGCGUGCACCGUUUCCCCGCAAGCGAGGGUUCGAAUCUCUUAGGCUA